rnacentral:rRNA from 1 species
GACGAACGCUGGCGGCGUGCUUAACACAUGCAAGUCGAACGGAAAGGCCCUGCUUUUGUGGGGUGCUCGAGUGGCGAACGGGUGAGUAACACGUGAGUAACCUGCCCUUGACUUUGGGAUAACUUCAGGAAACUGGGGCUAAUACCGGAUAGGAGCUCCUGCUGCAUGGUGGGGGUUGGAAAGUUUCGGCGGUUGGGGAUGGACUCGCGGCUUAUCAGCUUGUUGGUGGGGUAGUGGCUUACCAAGGGUUUGACGGGUAGCCGGCCUGGGAGGGUGACCGGCCACAUGGGGACUAAGAUACGGCCCAGACUCCUACGGGAGGCAGCAGUGGGGAAUAUUGCACAAUGGGCGGAAGCCUGAUGCAGCAACGCCGCGUGCGGGAUGACGGCCUUCGGGUUGUAAACCGCUUUCGCCUGUGACGAAGCGUGAGUGACGGUAAUGGGUAAAGAAGCACCGGCUAACUACGUG